AGAGUUUGAUCCUGGCUCAGGACGAACGCUGGCGGUGCGCCUAAUGCAUGCAAGUCGAACGGUCCUACCGAGCUUGCUCGGGACGGAUAGUGGCAGACGGCUGAGUAACACGUAAGUGAUCAACCCCGAAGCGGGGAAUAAUCUCGAGAAAUCGGGCCUAAUACCCCGUACGCUUUUUGGAACAAGAUAACCUUAAAGGAAAGAUUUAUCGCUUUGGGACGAGCUUGCGGCCUAUCAGGUAGUUGGAAGGGUAACGGCCUACCAAGCCUAUGACGGGUAACCGGUGUGAGAGCACGAUCGGUCAGAGGGGGACUGAGACACGGCCCCCACUCCUACGGGAGGCAGCAGCAGGGAAUAUUGCGCAAUGGGCGAAAGCCUGACGCAGCGACACCGCGUGAGGGACGAAGGCUUUCGAGUCGUAAACCUCUUUUCUCAGGGAAUAGCAAGGAAGGUACCUGAGGAAUAAGCAUUGGCUAACUACGUGCCAGCAGCCGCGGUAAUACGUAGGAUGCGAGCGUUGUCCGGAUUUACUGGGCGUAAAGGGUGAGUAGGCGGUUUUUCAAGUCCUGUGUGAAAUCUCUCGGCUCAACUGAGAGGGGUCAUAGGAAACUGUAAAACUAGAGUUCAGCAGAGGAAAGCGGAAUUUCCGGAGUAGCGGUGAAAUGCGUAGAUACCGGAAGGAACACCAGAGGCGAAAGCGGCUUUCUAGGCUGUAUCUGACGCUGAGGCACGAAAGCAUGGGGAGCGAACCGGAUUAGAUACCCGGGUAGUCCAUGCCGUAAACGAU
rnacentral:rRNA from 1 species